rnacentral:rRNA from 1 species
UACGUAGGGUGCAAGCGUUGUCCGGAAUUAUUGGGCGUAAAGAGCGUGUAGGCGGCUCCAUUAGUCCGCUGUGAAAGUCCAGGGCUCAACCCUGGAAUGCCGGUGGAAACUGUCGGGCUAGAGUCCGGAAGAGGCGAGUGGAAUUCCCGGUGUAGCGGUGAAAUGCGCAGAUAUCGGGAGGAACACCAAUGGCGAAGGCAGCUCGCUGGGACGGUACUGACGCUGAGACGCGAAAGCGUGGGAGCAAAC